ensembl:snoRNA
AUCCUUUUCUGGUUUAUAAGAAUGAUUAUUGGGUGUAAGAUGUUUGUGUGAAAAGUACCUCCCGAAAUCUUGUACACACUUGGCACAUUAGCCAUCUGAAG